UACGUAGGGGGCAAGCGUUGUCCGGAAUCAUUGGGCGUAAAGCGCGUGUAGGCGGCUUGGUAAGUCAGGGGUGAAAUCCUGGAGCUCAACUCCAGAACUGCCUUUGAUACUGGCGAUCUCGAGUCCGGGAGAGGUGAGUGGAACUGCGAGUGUAGAGGUGAAAUUCGUAGAUAUUCGCAAGAACACCAGUGGCGAAGGCGGCUCACUGGCCCGGUACUGACGCUGAGGUGCGAAAGCGUGGGGAGCAAACAGG
rnacentral:rRNA from 1 species